GGGGCUGAUUCUGGAUUCGACAACCCAAGGUGCAUGCCGAGGGGCGGUUGGCCUCGUAAAAAGCCGCAAAAAAUAGUCGCAAACGACGAAAACUACGCUUUAGCAGCUUAAUAACCUGCUUAGAGCCCUCUCUCCCUAGCCUCCGCUCUUAGGACGGGGAUCAAGAGAGGUCAAACCCAAAAGAGAUCGCGUGGAAGCCCUGCCUGGGGUUGAAGCGUUAAAACUUAAUCAGGCUAGUUUGUUAGUGGCGUGUCCGUCCGCAGCUGGCAAGCGAAUGUAAAGACUGACUAAGCAUGUAGUACCGAGGAUGUAGGAAUUUCGGACGCGGGUUCAACUCCCGCCAGCUCCACCA
rnacentral:tmRNA from 1 species